rnacentral:rRNA from 1 species
UACGGGGGGGGGCAAGCGUUGUUCGGAAUUACUGGGCGUAAAGGGCUCGUAGGCGGCCAACUAAGUCAGACGUGAAAUCCCUCGGCUUAACCGGGGAACUGCGUCUGAUACUGGAUGGCUUGAGUUUGGGAGAGGGAUGCGGAAUUCCAGGUGUAGCGGUGAAAUGCGUAGAUAUCUGGAGGAACACCGGUGGCGAAGGCGGCAUCCUGGACCGAGAUUGACGCUGAGGCGCGAAAGCGUGGGGAGCAAACAGG